rnacentral:ncRNA from 2 species
AGAUUUCUUCGGGGCAGGGUGAAAUUCCCGACCGACGGUAACAACAUAAGUUGAAGUCCGUGACCCGCGUAAGCGGUUGACCCAGUGAGAUUCUGGGACCGACAGUAAAGUCUGGAUGGGAGAAGAAGAAA